rnacentral:rRNA from 1 species
AAUCUUCGACAAUGGGCGAAAGCCUGAUCCAGCCACGCCGCGUGUGUGAAGAAGGUUUUCGGAUCGUAAAACUCUGUAAGAUGGGAUGAAGAGUUGUUGUCUUAUCUCCCUCUACUUUGACGUUACCUUCUGACAAAGCCCCGUCUAACUCUGUGCCAGCAGCCGCGGUAAUACUUAGGUUGCAAGCGUUUUACGGAAUUAUUGGGCGUAAAGCGCGCGUAGGUGGUUCAGUAAGAAUGAUGUGAAAGCCCAGGGCUAAACCGGGGAAGGGCAUUGAAAACUGGGGAGCAAGAGUACAGAAGAGGAAAGUGGAAUUUCAAGUGUAGCGGUGAAAUGCGUAGAGAUAGGGAGGAACACCAGUGGCGAAGGCGACUAUCUGGACUGAAACUGACACUGAGGUGCGAAAGCGUGGGGAGCAAAC